rnacentral:lncRNA from 12 species
GACGACGACGGGAGCUGGGGCCACAGCCCCCAGUCGCUCCUCCCCGCACCACUGACCUGCGUGGACCCUGCUGAGGCUGUUGCUUAAUUAGCGGCAUGAAUAUUCAGAACCCUCGCGCCCUCCUGCGUCUCGCGGCCCCAGGCGUCUCCCACCCGGGCCUGCCCACCCGCUGCAGUCUCAUGUCCAUGGGAGGCGCUGGGAGGCCCACGGAGCUCAGGCCUCCUCCCCCGGUCCUCGGGGCCAGACAGCUGCCGCCAUCGGAGCUCCCCAAGCGGAAAGAUGCCCUCCUUGCCGCCCGCGAGCCUCCAGCCUCCGAGGCCAAUGACUUCUGGAAAAGGCCCACCCUGAGCACUAGGGAAAGGAAAUGGAAGGCCAGGGAGAAAGGUGCGGCCGGGCUUCCCGUCUCCACCCCCAGCGCUUCGCAGGCCUGGGGUCCCACGCGGAGUGGACGCUCCAGGGCCCCCCCUUGCAGGGGCGGUGGGAAGGGUCUCCGGGGCUGCGCUGCAGUGCGUGUGCUUCCCCCCAGCCGCGCGGAGGGCAGAGGAAAAGGUCCGCCCUGUGCCCUCAGGCUCCCCCCGGCUGCCCCCCAAGGAUGGAGGACGUUCCCUGGCUUGGAGGUGCUUCCGGGGGGCUGCCCGGGGCGG